rnacentral:rRNA from 1 species
CGCAGCCGCGGUAAUUCCAGCUCCAAUAGCGUAUAUUAAAGUUGUUGCAGUUAAAAAGCUCGUAGUUGAAUUUCGGGAUUGACGUGAUGGUCGUGCCUUACGGGGUAUGAACUGUUGCAGUCAAUUUCUCACCUUCUGGAGAAAUAUGAUGUCCUUAAUUGGGUGUCAUAUGGAACCAGAACUUUUACCUUGAAAAAAUUAGAGUGUUUAAAGCAGGCUUAUUGCUCGAAUACAUUAGCAUGGAAUAAUAAAAUAGGACGGCAUGGUUCUAUUUUGUUGGUUUCUAGGAUCACCGUAAUGAUUAAUAGGGAUAGUUGGGGGCAUUAGUAUUCAAUUGUCAGAGGUGAAAUUCUUGGAUUUAUUGAAGACUAACUACUGCGAAAGCAUUUGCCAAGGAUGUUUUCAUUAAUCAAGAACGAAAGUUAGGGGAUCGAAGACGAUCAGAUACCGUCGUAGUCUUAACCAUAAACUAUGC